rnacentral:lncRNA from 1 species
GAUGACAGAAAAUUGCGUGACAUGUUAAUAUCUCUAUGUGUCGACGAAAGCUGGUCGGCAGUCUACCUUGGGGUAUACCCACGGUAGUAGUUUAUCGGCAGACGGUGCGCAAACUACGAACUCGAUGGUGACGCAAGACACGGACAAGCUUUUUAUCCAGGUUCGGCCGCCGAGUUGGCGUAAUACCUACGUCCUGCGUCUUGUUGUAUUGAUUUGUGUUGAGAGAAUAAUGUAUGAUCUGUCCUCUAGGGGACCCCUGCCCCUCCUUAUAUAUCCUGAAGGGACAGAGUUACAAGAAAAGUAUCCUAUUUGGUACAAUAUCUUGUAGCCUUGCGGUGCACGCCGAUAUCCUCUGUCUAGCUGGAUCGUGUGGUAGGCCACGUAGGUGACAGUUACGUUGGUCCCCUGUAGUCCACCUCUUGUUAGCAGAACGGGUAGGGUUUAUUGGCCUAUGGAUAAGCAUCCUUUGUGGUGUAUUCUUAUCACGUGGUUCGUCCCAGACAUAGACAUACCCCUUUGAAGUAGAGAAACCAUAGUUAUCCUCUAUAUUCUCCUACCAUCGCCCAUAUACUAGAAUUGCUCUAUUCUCUAUUCCCAUAUUAUCACUCACUGUUAUCUUACCUUUAAUAUUGUUCUUAUUCGAUUCUACUAUCUUUCCUAUUUACACUUAUUUACUUAUCUUGGUUAAGUUAGAACGUAGAUCAGUUCUCCCGUUUCCCUGUGGAUACGAUAAAACCUUUAACUGGGUAAAAGCUUCAACGGUAUCCGUGCGCUUGCGGAUUAUCUGUGUGCGUAUAAAUACCAUAGUACACUCUAGUGCCAUGCUGGGGAUGACAACCUAGUAUUCAAGUGGUGUUAGCAAGUGUCAACAAAGACGUAGAGUUUAAACAGAACUAUCCUGAGGAGACCAUAGCACCGAGUUAGGUACGGAAAGAGAAGACAACUAUACAUGAAGAAGAGGCGCCGCCGGAAGUACCGACUACGUCACCCAACGAAUCCCAAGACAAUUGAGAAAAUGGAGAGUCCCGUUCGGAGGACUUAAAAACAUCGAACGCCUUGCCAAGAGGUAAACUCGGUAGUUAUCCUUUUCCCUUUUCAAUUAUUUUAAACAGUUUACUUAGUUAAUCAUGUUCGUACUAUCCUAAAAAGAAAAUAAAAAUGUGAAAAACAGUAAAGCCCCAUGUGAGUAUACAAGUGGCAUAAAACCCAUAAGUACAUUCACCGUGGUGGCAUAAAAAUAAAAUAAAAAUAUUUUUCUGCUCUAUAAAAUAAAAAUAUAAAAACAUGGAGUAAUAAUUAUUAAAGAGUCUCAACAUGAUAAAGGCUAGAUAUUUAUGCUAACACUUAAUCAGUUCCACAAGCUUUGUUGUCUAUUUGAGCUCCACAGAAUUUAAGAAUCAAGAAGACUAGCAGACGGAGGACAUUCUAAUCGCUGUCAGAAUGCUGCUGACUUUCAAAUACACCUCUGCCACCUGCUAGCUACAUCAAGAGAAAUUACGUCAAAAUUCAGCUUGGGGGAGAGCACCCCCAUUUAUCUUGAUAAGUAUUUCUAUCUAUCUAUUUAUCUUUAUACUUAUACUAUAUUAAAAUAUAACUAU